rnacentral:rRNA from 1 species
CCUACGGGCGGCAGCAGUGGGGAAUAUUGGACAAUGGGCGAAAGCCUGAUCCAGCCAUGCCGCGUGUGUGAAGAAGGCCUUCGGGUUGUAAAGCACUUUCAGUGGGGAAGAAAGCCUUGGGGCUAAUACCCUCGAGGAAGGACAUUACCCACAGAAGAAGCACCGGCUAACUCCGUGCCAGCAGCCGCGGUAAUACGGAGGGUGCGAGCGUUAAUCGGAAUUACUGGGCGUAAAGCGCGCGUAGGCGGUCUGAUAAGCCGGUUGUGAAAGCCCCGGGCUCAACCUGGGAACGGCAUCCGGAACUGUCAGGCUAGAGUGCAGGAGAGGAGGGUGGAAUUCCCGGUGUAGCGGUGAAAUGCGUAGAGAUGUGGAGGAAUACCAGUGGCGAAGGCGGCCUUCUGGACUGACACUGACGCUGAGGUGCGAAAGCGUGGGUAGCGAACAGGAUUAGAUACCCCGGUAGUC